rnacentral:rRNA from 1 species
GACGAACGCUGGCGGCGUGCUUAACACAUGCAAGUCGAACGAAGUGGCGCACGGGUGAGUAAUAUAUAGUUAAUCUGCCCUACACAGAGGAACAACAGUUGGAAACGGCUGCUAAUACCUCAUAGUGUAGGAUGAGACUAUAUCGUAUCAGCUAGUUGGUAAGGUAAUGGCUUACCAAGGCUAUGACGCGUAACUGGUCUGAGAGGAUGAUCCGGAACCUUGGAACUGAGGCACGGUCCAAAACUCUACGGGAGGGCGCAGGAAGGAAUAAGUCGCAAUGGGGGAAACCCUGACGCAGCAACGCCGCGUGGAGGAUGACACUUUUCGGAGCGUAAACUCCUUUUAUCAGGAAAGCGGUACCUGAUGAAUAAGCACCGGCUAACUCCGUGCCAGCCGCCGCGGUAAUAC